rnacentral:tRNA from 1 species
AGUAACAGCUGAUAACUAUAUACAGCUUUUUGUGGGCUGGGAGGGGGUUGGUUUAGCCUCCUUUUUACUA